rnacentral:rRNA from 1 species
CCUACGGGAGGCAGCAGUGGGGAAUAUUGGACAAUGGGGGCAACCCUGAUCCAGCCAUGCCGCGUGUGUGAAGAAGGCCCUCGGGUUGUAAAGCACUUUCAGUGAGGAAGAACGCCUGGUGGUUAAUACCCAUCAGGAAAGACAUCACUCACAGAAGAAGCACCGGCUAACUCCGUGCCAGCAGCCGCGGUAAUACGGAGGGUGCGAGCGUUAAUCGGAAUUACUGGGCGUAAAGCGCGCGUAGGUGGCUUGAUAAGCCGGUUGUGAAAGCCCCGGGCUCAACCUGGGAACGGCAUCCGGAACUGUCAAGCUAGAGUGCAGGAGAGGAAGGUAGAAUUCCCGGUGUAGCGGUGAAAUGCGUAGAGAUCGGGAGGAAUACCAGUGGCGAAGGCGGCCUUCUGGACUGACACUGACACUGAGGUGCGAAAGCGUGGGUAGCAAACAUGAUUAGAUACCCUAGUAGUC